UCUCCAAAAUGUCCACAAAAGUGACUUAAGUCAGGUUCCCCCAAACCAGACACCAAGACAAGAAUCCAUGUGUGUGUGACUGAAGGAAGUGCUGGGAGAGCCCCAGCUGCAGCCUGGAUGUGAACUGCAACUCCAAAGUGUGUCCAGACUCAAGGCAAGGGCACUAGGCUUUCCAGACCUCCUACUAAGUCAUUGAUCCAGCACUGCCCUGCCAGGACAUAAAUCCCUGGCACCUCUUGCUCUCUGCAAAGGAGGGCAAAGCAGCUUCAGGAGCCCUUGGGAGUCCUCCAAAGAGAGUCUAGGGUACAGGUCCGAAAGUAGAAGAACACAGAAGGCAGGCCAGGGGCACUGUGAGAUGGUAAAAGAGAUCUGAAGGGAUCCAG
rnacentral:lncRNA from 10 species